AACUAGCCCUGAUAGAAGUGGAAAUCCUUUACUUUUUUCUUUUAAAAAGUAAAGAUUACAACGGAUAGCAGGAAUAGCU
rnacentral:sRNA from 1 species